CGCACCUGAUCUGGGUGCAAGCGGUUACCUGCCACGUGGAGGACGAUGUCCAUGAUGCUGUCAGCCUGGCUGUCCAUGAUGAAGCACCGGAGAACACCUGGAAACAGUGGAGGAACAGGUCUGUCGUCCAGCAAACGCACCUGACAGAGACCGGCCCGUGUGCAAACAAAGCGUCGCCGAUUCCCUGCGGGGCGGGGCCCGAUGUGGUUUAAAGCCGGGCGCUGGGAGCAGCGAUGCGGAGCAGGGAAUGGUCACGGCGCUAACACGGCUCCUCCCGCGGCUGGGGUUUGUUUUCAAGCGGGGUUCGCACGUCUGUCAGGGGGCGAGCCCUGGUAUCCUCGAUGGAUUCCUGUGCCAGGUGAC